CUGCGAGUGAAGCGGGAAAAGCUCAAAUUUAAAAUCUGGCGGUCUUUUGGCUGUCCGAGUUGUAAUCUAGAGAAGUGCUAUCCGCGCUGGACCGUGUACAAGUCUCCUGGAAUGGAGCAUCAUAGAGGGUGAGAAUCCCGUCUUUGACAUGGACUGCCAGGGCUUUUGUGGUGCGCUCUCAAAGAGUCGAGUUGUUUGGGAAUGCAGCUCAAAAUGGGUGGUAAAUUCCAUCUAAAGCUAAAUAUUGGCGAGAGACCGAUAGCGAACAAGUACCGUGAGGGAAAGAUGAAAAGAACUUUGGAAAGAGAGUUAAACAGUACGUGAAAUUGCUGAAAGGGAAACGCUUGAAGUCAGUCGCGUCGUCCAGGGAUCAACCUUGCUUUUGCUUGGUGCACUUCCUGGUCUGACGGGUCAGCAUCAAUUUUGACUAUUGGAAAAAGAUCAAGGGAAUGUGGCAUCUCUGGAUGUGUUAUAGCCCUUGGUUGCAUACAAUGGUUUGGGAUUGAGGAACUCAGCACGCCGCAAGGCCGGGUGUCAAAACCACGUACGUGCUUAGGAUGCUGACAUAUAUAAUGGCUUUAAUCGACCCGUCUUGAAACACGGACCAAGGAGUCUAACAUGCCUGCGAGUGUUUGGGUGGAAAACCCGAGCGCGUAAUGAAAGUGAGAGGUUGAGAUCCCUGUCGUGGGGAGCAUCGACGCCCGGACCAGACCUUUUGCGACGGUUCCGCGGUAGAGCAUGUAUGUUGGGACCCGAAAGAUGGUGAACUAUGCCUGAAUAGGGUGAAUCCAGAGGAAACUCUGGUGGAGGCUCGUAGCGAUUCUGACGUGCAAAUCGAUCGUCAAAUUUGGGUAUA
rnacentral:rRNA from 1 species